rnacentral:rRNA from 1 species
UACGGAAGGGGCUAGCGUUGUUCGGAAUCACUGGGCGUAAAGCGCGCGUAGGCGGCUUGGCAAGUGCGGCGUGAAAGUCCUGGGCUCAACCUGGGGACGGCGCUGCGGACUGCCUAGCUGGAGUCCGGAAGAGGGUGGUGGAAUUCCGAGUGUAGAGGUGAAAUUCGUAGAUAUUCGGAGGAACACCGGUGGCGAAGGCAGCCACCUGGUCCGGCACUGACGCUGAAGCGCGAAAGCGUGGGGAGCAAACAGG